rfam:Solanum tuberosum cultivar DM 1-3 516 R44 scf00398_36, whole genome shotgun sequence.
AUUACAACCUUUCAGAAAUAUCCGAUAAAGUUAGAACAAUACAAAGAAGAUUAGCAUGGCCUUUACUCAAAGAUGACAUAUACAAAUUGAGAAAUGAUUCAAAAAUAU